rnacentral:rRNA from 1 species
UACGAAGGGGGCUAGCGUUGUUCGGAAUCACUGGGCGUAAAGGGCGCGUAGGCGGCUGUUCAAGUCGGGGGUGAAAUCCCGUGGCUCAACCACGGAAUGGCCUUCGAUACUGGACGGCUCGAGACCGGAAGAGGUGAGUGGAACUGCGAGUGUAGAGGUGAAAUUCGUAGAUAUUAGGAAGAACACCAGUGGCGAAGGCGGCUCACUGGCCCGGUACUGACGCUGAGGCGCGAAAGCGUGGGGAGCAAACAGG